rnacentral:rRNA from 1 species
UCGACCCUACGGGACGCAGCAGUGGGGAAUAUUGGACAAUGGGGGGAACCCUGAUCCAGCGACGCCGCGUGAGUGAAGAAGUAUUUCGGUAUGUAAAGCUCUAUCAGCAGGGAAGAAAAUGACGGUACCUGACUAAGAAGCCCCGGCUUACUACGUGCCAGCAGCCGCGGUAAUACGUAGGGGGCAAGCGUUAUCCGGAUUUACUGGGUGUAAAGGGGGCGCAGACGGCAAUGCAAGCCAGGAGUGAAAGCCCGGGGCCCAACCCCGGGACUGCUCUUGGAACUGCAUGGCUGGAGUACAGGAGG